rnacentral:ncRNA from 2 species
CCCGCCGAGGGGCGCUGCGACCGUUGGCGUGAGGCAGAUCCAUCUGCAGCCCCACGCAUCGGCCAGGCUCGGCGCGGCACGUUCCACAACGGCGCCCGGUUGUC